rnacentral:rRNA from 1 species
CUGACAGGGGACGCUCGUCCCCCCGGGGGGGCGUCCACGGUCGCCUCUGGCCCUUUCAAGGGGAGCUUUCUCCUCUUCAUUGUUGGGUGUCCGCCCUAGAUUUUCCUUUAGAUGAAAUAAGAGGGUUCCAGGCACGCUCUCGUCGUGCAAUUCUCAGGGGAAAUAAUAACUUGGAACUUCAUCUCUGCUUUCUUGGGUUAAGUGUCAAAAAUAUGAUGUAGAGAUGGAUAGGGGCGUAUGCGUACUUCACUGUUCGAGUGAUUUCUUGGAUUCGUGGAGACGGGAAGAGCGAAACAUUUGCCACGUUUGACUUCUUGAUCACUAACAACAGUUACGGGAUCGAAGAGAACCAAAACCCGUCCUAACCUUCACUAUCAACCCUGCCGGCUAGAGAUUGUAGGUCUUUCUAUUUCUUACUCCCCGCGUCAACCUGAGAGAAAUCAAAGCAUUUGGGUUCCGGGGGGAGUAUGGACGCAAGGCUGAACUCAAAGGAUUGACGCAACGACCCCACGAGACCAGCAGUAUUCGAUUUAGUUUGACCCCACACCUCGACACUUAACAGGUCCCCCACUUCCUAAGGAUGUACGACAUUGUCAUCUCUCUACCCUCUCUCCGGAGUGCU